ACCAUUGCAUCAUAUUAAGGCCAAAGGUUACCACUCCAGAUGAAAAUUGUUGAUGCACUUAAGUUGAUACCUGAUUUAGCCGAGCAAGAUAUGAUGCAAUGUUAUGGGAGGUUGGUACUUAAUGGUCGCCUGUUUCAAGCUUCGAUGGAGUUGCCCAUCACCAUGAGGAAGACAUGGUUGCUAAUGUUGCCUUGA
rnacentral:rRNA from 1 species